ACAAUGGCCAUUAUUUACUUGAUCUUGACUCGCCCUAAAUGGACAACUGUGGAAAAGCUAGAGCUAAUACAUGCACAACAAGCUUCGACCCCUUAGGGGGAAGAGCGCAUUUAUUCGCCUAAAACCAAAACGGCUUCGGCCGUCCACAUUGUGGUGACUCAGAAUAACUCACAGCUGAUCGCAUGGCCUAGUGCCGGCGACGUGUCAUUCAAGCGUCUACUUUAUCAACUUGAAGGUAGCAUAAUCGACUACCUUGGUGGUGACGGAUAACGGAGGAUCAGGGUUCGACUCCGGAGAAGGGGCCUGAGAAAUGGCCACUACGUCUAAGGAUGGCAGCAGGCGCGCAAAUUACCCACUCUCGGCUUGAGGAGGUAGUGACGAGAAAUAACGAGGCCGUUCUCAAUACGAGGCCGGUCAUCGGAAUGGGUACAAUGUAAACACUUUAACGAGUAUCUACGAGAGGGCAAGUCUGGUGCCAGCAGCCGCGGUAAUUCCAGCUCUCGAAAUACAUAGAAUUCUUGUUGCGGUUACAAGGCUCGUAUUUGGAUCUGUGAUCAGGCCCCGGUCUUGCCUCCGGGCAUGUACUGGGUGUCCCGGUCUUUGCGCAGUGAUUGCCCCAUGGUGCCUUCGCUGGUGCCGGGUGCGCAAGCGCUGCGAGUUUACUUUGAACAAAUCAGAGUGCUCAAAACAAGCGUCCAGCUUGAAUGUUCGUGCAUGGAAUAAUAGAAGAGGAUUUCGGUCCUAUUUUUCUGUUGGUUUAUAGGCUGAGAUAAUGGUUAACAGAGACAGACGGGGGCAUCCGUAUGGCCACGUGAGAGGUGAAAUUCUUGGACCGUGGCCAGACGAACAACAGCGAAAGCAUUUGCCAAGAAUGUCUUCAUUAAUCAAGAACGAAAGUCAGAGGUUCGAAGGCGAUCAGAUACCGCCCUAGUUCUGACCGUAAACGAUGCCAACUAGCGAUCCGCCGAUGGAGAUCCAUCUCCUUGGUGGGGAGCUUCCCGGAAACGAAAGUCUUCCGGUUCCGGGGGAAGUAUGGUUGCAAAGCUGAAACUUAAAGGAAUUGACGGAAGGGCACCACCAGGAGUGGAGCCUGCGGCUUAAUUUGACUCAACACGGGAAAACUCACCCGGCCCGGACACCGUAAGGAUUGACAGACUGAUAGCUUUUUCAUGAUUCGGUGGAUGGUGGUGCAUGGCCGUUCUUAGUUCGUGGAGCGAUUUGUCUGGUUUAUUCCGAUAACGAGCGAGACUCAGGCCUACUAAAUAGUUGGCGCAUUGUCACUGUGUGCAUAAUACUUCUUAGAGGGAUUCGCGGUGGUUCAAACCGCAAGAAAUUGAGCAAUAACAGGUCUGUGAUGCCCUUAGAUGUCCGGGGCUGCACGCGCGCUACACUGGCAAAAUCAGCGUGCUUGUCCUGUGCCGAAAGGUGCGGGUAAACCCCUGAAAAUUUGCCGUGAUUGGGAUCGGAAAUUGCAAUUAUUUUCCGUGAACGAGGAAUUCCAAGUAAGUGCGAGUCAUCAGCUCGCGUUGAUUACGUCCCUGCCCUUUGUACACACCGCCCGUCGCUGCCCGGGACUGAGCCAUUUCGAGAAACUUGGGGACUGUGCGACUUGGCUGGUGUGCUUGCGCACAUCACCUUGUUCGCUGGAAACCAAUUUAAUCGC
rnacentral:rRNA from 1 species